CUUGCCUAGCAUGCAGGAGCCACUGGGUUCAAUCCCCAGUACCACACACACACAGAGGCCGGGGGCUUGGGACACACUGGCCUGAGGACACCCACACAAAAGUAACCACAGCAUUCCCUGCUGGCACCAAGCCAGCCCAGGCAGUUUCUCAACUCGGUCCUCAUCACCGGGUAGUGGAUGUUUGCUGGGGCUUGGAAGAAGUGAUCUCUGGCAGCCCAGACACCAAGGAGAGAGCAGCAUGGGGAAACAGCACCCCCUACAGCCCAGUUGUGGCUGCUGCAAAGAGACCCAGAGCCGGGCAGCCUAGAGCUGGGACCACCUCGGCGCCUGGUUCCAUCAAGAUCUGAGGGCAGAGGAAGGGGAGGCAGGACUUGGUUUCCGGAGGUCUGUGCCAUUCCUCCCUCCAGGGGUCUCUAAAAGGAGCUCACCGGACUGCAGACUAGACCCUGAGGGCGACCAUGUGGCAUUUCAGAUGAAGUCCCCAGCACGCAUUCUGAUCAAAAUAAACUAGGAGAGAAACGGC
rnacentral:lncRNA from 1 species